ACAACUGGUUCAUGGUGAAUUAUUUUCCAAAUGUAUCAAAAUCUCCCUCCCUCCCCCCCCCUUAAGAACGUGACACAUGCUGGCUGCCAGUGUAGAGCCCAGCCCACCGGCUGCUGCCAAUACACAGUCUAUGGCUGCUUCGCACAGGUUAUGGAAUGUUGCUAAUAUUCGGAUCAAAGAUUCUAGGGUGUUAUUCUACUCUAGGAAGUUCUGCAUACAAUACAUUGUUUUAAUGCUAUUUUAAUCCACGUUAUUGUACCAAAUACAUUGCCGAUUUUAUCAGCAAAAUAAGCUAGAUCAUAUUGCUUAGUUGAUUUUGUUUACCCAUGCCAACGGUUGCUAAGGGAAGAAAAGCCAUGCUUUUAAACAAGGGUAUCGUUAAUUUCAGCCCAAUUGGUCAGUAAUAGCAAAUGCACAUGGAUUUGACAGAAAAUUAAGCAAUUUAAAUGAAGAAAAGAAAAGAAUUACAUGGGCAUGCGGUAGACGUUUCUAGUGGGCAUUCCCAAGUUGAAACCAUGGAUAUGUUUUUCUUGUCGUGGCGCAACGUGUUUUUUUUUUGUUUCAAUCUGUAUUAUAGUAUGCUUGCCCUCCUAAAUCUAUAUGGCAUAAAGUAAAAGAACGAAAAGUAAUGUAAUAAAAGUAGAUCUACAAUCGCAAAUUUAAACUGAUAAAGACUUCCAUGAGCCGGCAAGAAGACAAAAGGAUCACACAGCUAACGACAACAUUAACAGUAGCUACGAAGUUUUAAGCUACGAGGAUGUAAUUGUCUUCUUUGGGAAAGCUGCAAAGCAACAAUUGCAGAUUAUAACAGGUACAUGGCAUUUUGGUUCAUUUUUAUAGACAUUUCUAUUUCGAACUAGCACAUUCUGGAUAAUUCAAACAAAUAAUGUUUGUUAUGGUAAGAUCUGGUUGUGCUACGUUGCUACCUGUCUCUAUAAACAGAGAUGGGUAACCUGGUGCUAACAUUAACGUGAGGUAAUGGCAUUAGGCUGUACUGAUUAUAAUUUGAGAUCCAACUUACUGUAUCAACUUUCACCUUUUCACUUUUUCCGAGGUAAAAAGCGGCAAAAGAGAGUUUUGUCAACAUCAUUCUGCUUUUACAACACGGUCACACCGAAACCUCUGAGAAAUCCCAGCCAGGAUCUGAAGAGAGCUCUUCUCAACAUUUUG